GACGAACGCUGGCGGCGUGCUUAACACAUGCAAGUCGAACGGAAAGGCCCCUUUGGGGGUACUCGAGUGGCGAACGGGGGAGUAACACGUGAGUAACCUGCCCUUGACUUCGGGAUAACUUCAGGAAACUGGGGCUAAUACCGGAUAGGAAUCCUUGCUGCAUGGUGGGGGUUGGAAAGCUUCGGCGGUUUUGGAUGGACUCGCGGCUUAUCAGCUUGUUGGUGGGGUAGUGGCUUACCAAGGCUUUGACGGGUAGCCGGCCUGAGAGGGCGACCGGCCACAUUGGGACUGAGAUACGGCCCAGACUCCUACGGGAGGCAGCAGUGGGGAAUAUUGCACAAUGGGCGGAAGCCUGAUGCAGCAACGCCGCGGGCGGGAGGACGGCCUUCGGGUUGUAAACCGCUUUCAGCAGGGGCGAAGCUUGUGGUGACGGUACCUGCAGAAGAAGCACCGGCUAACUACGUG
rnacentral:rRNA from 1 species